GGAAUGGUCUCAGCGAUGCUCGACUAUAACGGCCCCAUCGACGUAAUCAACUUCUGGCUGCUGCAAAGAAGGAAAACAAAAGGUUCGGGGAUUAAUAAGGUGCCACCGCACCUUCUCAUAUGCCAGGUGGGCGCUUAGCCCCUGGUCUACU
rnacentral:rRNA from 1 species